UGGUCCCCUUCUUCCACCCACGAGAGUCGUUACAAUGUAUCCAGUCAAAAGAGUCGUUAUAAUGUAUGAAGUCAAAAGAGUCGUUACAAUGUAUCCAGUCAAAAGAGUCGAUACAAUGUACUUACUGUAUUCCAUCAUGUAAAUGUAGCUUACUGUAUUCCAUCAUGUAAAUGUAGCUUACUGUAUUCCAUCAUGUAAAUGUAGCUUACUGUAUUCCAUCAUGUAAAUGUAGCUUACUGUAUUCCAUCAUGUAAAUGUAGCUUACUGUAUUCCAUCAUGUAAAUGUAGCUUACUGUAUUCCAUCAUGUAAAUGUAGCUUACUGUAUUCCAUCAUGUAAAUUUAGCUUACUGUAUUCCAUCAUGUACAUGUAGCUUACUGUAUUCCAUCUGGUACAUGUAGCUUACUGUAUUUCAUCAUGUACAUGUAGUUUACUGUAUUCCAUCAUGUACAUGUAGUUUACUGUAUUCCGUCAUGUAAAUGUAGCUUACUGUAUUCCAUCAUGUAAAUGUAGCUUACUGUAUUCCAUCAUGUAAAUGUAGCUUACUGUAUUCCAUCAUGUAAAUGUAGCUUACUGUAUUCCAUCAUGUAAAUGUAGCUUACUGUAUUCCAUCAUGUAAAUGUAGCUUACUGUAUUCCAUCAUGUAAAUGUAGCUUACUGUAUUCCAUCAUGUAAANNNNNNNNNNUUUUCCUUUGAACAGAAAUCAUGGUGCACUUCAAUAGUGUUCUCUGUUGUUACGGUUACCACCCCCUUUUGCCUUCCAUCUUCUAAAGAGUCAAAGAUACACAGGAAGAUCCAGAUGGACGACAGGGGAAAUGCAAGGUAGCCUAGCGGUUAGAGCAUUGGGCUGGUUAACUGAAAGGUCACUGAUUUGAACACCCUUCGCCGACAAGGUAAACAUGAUGCCGAUGUGCCCUUGAGCAAGGCACCUGACGAUCAUUUGCUCUAGGNNNNNNNNNNUACAUGUAGUUUACUGUAUUUCAUCAUGUAAAUGUAGCUUACUGUAUUCCAUCAUGUAAAUGUAGCUUACUGUAUUUCAUCAUGUACAUGUAGCUUACUGUAUUCCAUCUGGUACAUGUAGCUUACUGUAUUCCGUCAUGUAAAUGUUCUUACUGUAUUCCAUCAUGUAAAUGUAGCUUACUGUAUUCCAUCAUGUAAAUGUAGCUUACUGUAUUCCAUCAUGUAAAUGUAGCUUACUGUAUUCCAUCAUGUAAAUGUAGCUUACUGUAUUCCAUCAUGUAAAUGUAGCUUACUGUAUUUCAUCAUGUACAUGUAGCUUACUGUAUUCCAUCUGGUACAUGUAGCUUACUGUAUUCCAUCAUGUAAAUGUAGCUUACUGUAUUCAUCAUGUAAAUGUAGCUUACUGUAUUUCAUCUGGUACAUGUAGUUUACUGUAUUUCAUCAUGUAAAUGUAGCUUACUGUAUUCCAUCAUGUAAAUGUAGCUUACUGUAUUUCAUCAUGUACAUGUAGCUUACUGUAUUCCAUCUGGUACAUGUAGCUUACUGUAUUCCGUCAUGUAAAUGUUCUUACUGUAUUCCAUCAUGUAAAUGUAGCUUACUGUAUUCCAUCAUGUAAAUGUAGCUUACUGUGUUCCAUGUUAAUAAGGCUGCCUGGUGAACCGAACUAACACAUUUCACUCAUCAACAACACGGAAUAAUGUUUUAAAUAAAGAGGGGAGAAAGAAAUCAAUGAG
rnacentral:lncRNA from 13 species